rnacentral:rRNA from 5 species
UGGUGGGUAGUUUGACUGGGGCGGUCUCCUCCUAAAGAGUAACGGAGGAGCACGAAGGUUGGCUAAUCCUGGUCGGACAUCAGGAGGUUAGUGCAAUGGCAUAAGCCAGCUUGACUGCGAGCGUGACGGCGCGAGCAGGUGCGAAAGCAGGUCAUAGUGAUCCGGUGGUUCUGAAUGGAAGGGCCAUCGCUCAACGGAUAAAAGGUACUCCGGGGAUAACAGGCUGAUACCGCCCAAGAGUUCAUAUCGACGGCGGUGUUUGGCACCUCGAUGUCGGCUCAUCACAUCCUGGGGCUGAAGUAGGUCCCAAGGGUAUGGCUGUUCGCCAUUUAAAGUGGUACGCGAGCUGGGUUUAGAACGUCGUGAGACAGUUCGGUCCCUAUCUGCCGUGGGCGCUGGAGAACUGAGGGGGGCUGCUCCUAGUACGAGAGGACCGGAGUGGACGCAUCACUGGUGUUCGGGUUGUCAUGCCAAUG